CUCUCAUCCACUCAUCGUUCUGCUCUUAUCCGCUCAACUCUUAUCUGCUCCACUCAUCCACUGGAGCUCUACCGUCCGUCUGCUCGUCGAGCGCACCUGCUAGCAUGGAUCCCAGAAGUAGGCCUCCAAGCUCCGGCAACAGCAUAUGAGCACAGGAGCACGUCCGGCAAUAGCAGAUCCUCCUGGCCACGGGCGCAGAUCCUUGGCUGCAUCGAUAGCGCGCUCGGCACGGUGCGCGGCUUCGCCACCGCUACCGGCGAUGACAAGAAGCGCAAGUCGGAGAACGGGCCAACCUCUCGGCUUCCAACGACGUCCAAAAGAAGGGACACACAUGUGGCCGUGGUGGACAACAGGUUCGUGUCAUAGCCUUUCCUGAUCAGCUUCACAGCAACAACAAGGCGUAGCUUCGUGUUUGAUUUGAUUUGAUUGUGAGAUGAGUCAUCUUGUGUUCAAUUUGAUUGUGAGAUGAGUCGAUUUAUUCGAUUUGAUUGUGAGAUGAGUUUGUGUGGAUAAGAUAGUUGAUCUGUUCUUGUAUGGAUUUGUUCGUGAGUAUGUAUUGAUUUGAUUAUGUGUUCGUA